GAGACAGCUGGGACACCUGGGGGACAUCCUGUGAGUGCUGGGAAUUUGGGAAUUCAAUAUGGGAUCAUUGGGAAUGAUCAUUGGGAUCACUGAGAAUUCAUAAUGGGAGCCGCGGGAAUGCCGGGAACGGGAGAGGCAGCUGGCGGAGAGACAGCUGGGACACCUGGGGGACAUCCUGUGAGGGAAUGGGAUCAUUGGGAAUUUGGGAUUGAUCAUUGGGAUCAUUGGGAUUGAUCAUUGGGAUCAUUGGGAUCAUUGGGAAUUCAUAAUGGGAACCGCGGGAAUGCCGGGAACGGGAGAGACAGCUGGCGGAGAGACAGCUGGGACACCUGGGGGACAUCCUGUGAGGGAAUGGGGAUUUGGGAAUUUGGGAUUGAUCAUUGGGAUUGAUCAUUGGGAUCACUGGGAAUUCAUUAUGGGAACCGCGGGAAUGCCGGGAACGGGAGCGGCAGCUGGCGGAGAGACAGCUGGGACACCUGGGGGACAUCCUCUCCAAGUACGAGGAGGAGCGGAGCUCCCCCAUGGCCUUCGCCCUCAGCACCUUCAUGGCCCACGCCGGGAUCCGGCCCCG
rnacentral:lncRNA from 1 species